UACGGAGGGUGCAAGCGUUGUCCGGAUUUAUUGGGUUUAAAGGGUGCGUAGGCGGCUUUUUAAGUCAGUGGUGAAAUCCUGCAGCUUAACUGUAGGCGUGCCAUUGAUACUGGAGAGCUUGAGUACAGACGAGGUUGGCGGAAUUGACGGUGUAGCGGUGAAAUGCAUAGAUAUCGUCAAGAACACCGAUUGCGAAGGCAGCUAACUAGACUGUAACUGACGCUGAGGCACGAAAGUGUGGGGAUCGAACAGG
rnacentral:rRNA from 1 species